rnacentral:rRNA from 1 species
CCCCUAGUAACUGCGAGUGAAGCGGGAAAAGCUCAAAUUUAAAAUCUGGCGGCUCCGCCGUCCGAGUUGUAAUUUAGAGAAGUGUUAUCCGCGCUGGACCGUGUACAAGUCUCCUGGAAUGGAGCGUCAUAGAGGGUGAGAAUCCCGUCUUUGACACGGACUGCCAGGGCAUUGUGAUGCGCUCUCGAAGAGUCGAGUUGUUUGGGAUUGCAGCUCAAAAUGGGUGGUAAAUUCCAUCUAAAGCUAAAUAUUGGGGAGAGACCGAUAGCGAACAAGUACCGUGAGGGAAAGAUGAAAAGAACUUUGGAAAGAGAGUUAAACAGUACGUGAAAUUGCUGAAAGGGAAACGCUUGAAGUCAGUCGCGUUGUUCGGGAUUCAGCUUUAGCUUCUGCUAGGUGGAUUUCCUGUUCGACGGGUCAGCAUCAGUUUUGGCCAGUGGAUAAAGGUUCAGAGAAUGUGGCAUCCUCGGAUGUGUUAUAGCUCUGGGUCGCAUACAUUGGCUGGGACUGAGGAACUCAGCACGCCGCAAGGCCAGGUUCGACC